UACGUAGGUGACGAGCGUUAUCCGGAAUUACUGGGCGUAAAGGGCGCGUAGGCGGUGUGUCAAGUCAGGCGUGAAAGCCCCGGGCUCAACCUGGGAACCGCGCUUGAGACUGGCACGCUCGAGUUCGGGAGAGGAUGGUGGAAUUCCCAGUGUAGAGGUGAAAUUCGUAGAGAUCCGGGAGGAACACCGGUGGCGAAGGCGGGUCUCUGGGCCGAUGACUGACGCUGGAGGAGCGAAAGCGUGGGGAGCAACAGG
rnacentral:rRNA from 1 species